rnacentral:rRNA from 1 species
UACGUAGGGUGCGAGCGUUGCCCGGAUUUAUUGGGCGUAAAGGGCGCGUAGGCGGCCUGGCGCGUCGGCUGUGAAAUCUCCCGGCUCAACUGGGAGGGGACGGCCGAUACGGCUGGGCUUGAGCGAGGUAGGGGAGACUGGAAUUCCUGGUGUAGCGGUGAAAUGCGCAGAUAUCAGGAGGAACACCGGUGGCGAAGGCGGGUCUCUGGGCCGAUACUGACGCUGAGGAGCGAAAGCGUGGGGAGCGAACAGG